rnacentral:rRNA from 1 species
GAACGCUGGCGGCAGGCUUAACACAUGCAAGUCGAGCGGAAACGAAGGUAGCUUGCUACCAGGCGUCGAGCGGCGGACGGGUGAGUAAUGCUUAGGAAUCUACCGAGUAGUGGGGGAUAGCCAUUGGAAACGAUGAUUAAUACCGCAUAUAUCCUACGGGGGAAAGCAGGGGACCUUCGGGCCUUGCGCUAUUCGAUGAGCCUGAGUGAGAUUAGCUAGUUGGUGGGGUAAAGGCCUACCAAGGCGACGAUCUCUAGCUGGUCUGAGAGGAUGAUCAGCCACACUGGGACUGAGACACGGCCCAGACUCCUACGGGAGGCAGCAGUGGGGAAUAUUGCACAAUGGACGAAAGUCUGAUGCAGCCAUGCCGCGUGUGUGAAGAAGGCCUUCGGGUUGUAAAGCACUUUCAGCGAGGAGGAAAGGUCAGUAAGUAAUAUUUGCUGGCUGUGACGUUACUCGCAGAAGAAGCACCGGCUAAUUUAGUGCCAGCAGCCGCGGUAAUACUAAAGGUGCAAGCGUUAAUCGGAAUUACUGGGCGUAAAGCGCGCGUAGGUGGUUUGUUAAGUUGGAUGUGAAAGCCCAGGGCUCAACCUUGGAACUGCAUUCAAAACUGACUCACUAGAGUACGAGAGAGGUUAGUGGAAUUUCCUGUGUAGCGGUGAAAUGCGUAGAGAUGGGAAGGAACACCAGUGGCGAAGCGACUGACUGGCUCGAUACUG